rnacentral:rRNA from 1 species
CCCUUAGAGUUUGAUCCUGGCUCAGAUUGAACGCUGGCGGCACGCCUAACACAUGCAAGUCGAGCGGUAACAUGAUUUGUAGCAAUACAAAUUGAUGACGAGCGGCGGACGGGUGAGGAACACGUAGGAAUCUGCCCAGAAGCGGGGGACAACCAAGGGAAACUUUGGCUAAUACCGCGUAAUCUCGAAAGAGUAAAGCUGCCCGCAAGGGUGGCGCUUCUGGAGGAGCCUGCGUCCGAUUAGCUAGUUGGUGAGGUAAGAGCUCACCAAGGCGAUGAUCGGUAACUGGUCUGAGAGGACGACCAGUCACACUGGGACUGAGACACGGCCCAGACUCCUACGGGAGGCAGCAGUGGGGAAUAUUGGACAAUGGGGGCAACCCUGAUCCAGCGAUGCCGCGUGGGUGAAGAAGGCCUUCGGGUUGUAAAGCCCUUUAGGUUGGGAAGAAGUGUGUAGGCCGAAUAAGCUUAUGCAUUGACGGUACCGACAAAAUAAGCACCGGCAAACUCUGUGCCAGCAGCCGCGGUAAUACAGAGGGUGCGAGCGUUAAUCGGAAUUACUGGGCGUAAAGGGCGCGUAGGCGGUUGUGUGAGUGUGAUGUGAAAAGCCCUGGGCUUAACCUGGGAAGUGCAUCGCAAACGACAUAACUGGAGUAUAAAGAGAGGGUGGCGGAAUUUCCGGGUGUAGCGGUGAAAUGCGUAGAGAUC